rnacentral:rRNA from 1 species
AGAGUUUGAUCAUGGCUCAGGAUGAACGCUAGCUACAGGCUUAACACAUGCAAGUCGAGGGGCAGCAUGGUCUUAGCUUGCUAAGGCCGAUGGCGACCGGCGCACGGGUGAGUAACGCGUAUCCAACCUGCCUUACACUCUUGGGACAGCCUUCUGAAAGGGAGAUUAAUACAAGAUGUUAUCAUUGAGUAAGCAUUUUCGCAUGAUUAAAGGUUACCGGUGUAAGAUGGGGAUGCGUUCCAUUAGAUAGUAGGCGGGGUAACGGCCACUAGUCUUCGAUGGAUAGGGGUUCUGAGAGGAAGGUCCCCCANAUUGGAACUGAGACACGGUCCAAACGUCCUACGGGAGGCA